CCUACGGGUGGCUGCAGUGAGGAAUAUUGGUCAAUGGGCGCGAGCCUGAACCAGCCAAGUCGCGUGAGGGAAGACGGUCCUAUGGAUUGUAAACCUCUUUUGUCGGGGAGCAAAAGACGCCACGCGUGGCGUUCCGAGAGUACCCGAAGAAAAAGCAUCGGCUAACUCCGUGCCAGCAGCCGCGGUAAUCCGGAGGAUGCGAGCGUUAUCCGGAUUUAUUGGGUUUAAAGGGUGCGUAGGCGGAACAUUAAGUCAGCGGUAAAAUCGAGGGGCUAAACCCCUUUAAGCCGUUGAAACUGGUGAUCUUGAGUGGGCGAGAAGUAUGCGGAAUGCGUGGUGUAGCGGUGAAAUGCAUAGAUAUCACGCAGAACUCCGAUUGCGAAGGCAGCAUACCGGCGCCCGACUGACGCUGAGGCACGAAAGCGUGGGGAUCGAACAGGAUUAGAUACCCGAGUAGUC
rnacentral:rRNA from 1 species